rnacentral:lncRNA from 1 species
CUCCAGUGCUGCUGUGCCAGCAUAAAUUUUAAUAAAAUACCAAUAUAAAUUUAGUCUUUUUACCCCUUGAAAUGUUACUCUAUAUAGAAUGAGACUCACGGGCCUUUAAAUAACAGUCUAUUCAAGCAUCACAAUGAGCUAUUUUGCCCACGUAAGUAGAUACUUUAUUCCAGCAACUUGAAAACGAUUCAGAGAGCUGCCUUGCCCUGCUCUGAGCCACAGAGCCACUCCACAUCUCCACAAACUGAUUUGUCAGAAUG